GGAGAGUUGGCUGAGUGGUCUAAGGCGCACGACUGGAAAUCGUGUGUGGGCUUAUACCCCACCUAGGGUUCAAAUCCCUAACUCUCCGCCA
rnacentral:tRNA from 9 species